rnacentral:rRNA from 1 species
UACGUAGGGUGCGAGCGUUAAUCGGAAUUACUGGGCGUAAAGCGUGCGCAGGCGGCUUCGCAAGUCAGACGUGAAAUCCCCGGGCUUAACCUGGGAAUGGCGUUUGAAACUACGGAGCUGGAGUGUGGCAGAGGGAGGUAGAAUUCCACGUGUAGCGGUGAAAUGCGUAGAUAUGUGGAGGAAUACCGAUGGCGAAGGCGACAUCCUGGACCGGUAUUGACGCUGAGGCGCGAAAGCCAGGGGAGCAAACAGG